rnacentral:rRNA from 1 species
AGGACGAACGCUGGCGGCGUGCUUAACACAUGCAAGUCGAACGGAAAGGCCCUGCUUUUGUGGGGUGCUCGAGUGGCGAACGGGUGAGUAACACGUGAGUAACCUGCCCUUGACUUUGGGAUAACUUCAGGAAACUGGGGCUAAUACCGGAUAGGAGCUCCUGCUGCAUGGUGGGGGUUGGAAAGUUUCGGCGGUUGGGGAUGGACUCGCGGCUUAUCAGCUUGUUGGUGGGGUAGUGGCUUACCAAGGCUUUGACGGGUAGCCGGCCUGAGAGGGUGACCGGCCACAUUGGGACUGAGAUACGGCCCAGACUCCUACGGGAGGCAGCAGUGGGGAAUAUUGCACAAUGGGCGGAAGCCUGAUGCAGCAACGCCGCGUGCGGGAUGACGGCCUUCGGGUUGUAAACCGCUUUCGCCUGUGACGAAGCGUGAGUGACGGUAAUGGGUAAAGAAGCACCGGCUAACUACGUGCCAGCAGCCGCGGUGAUACGUAGGGUGCGAGCGUUGUCCGGAUUUAUUGGGCGUAAAGGGCUCGUAGGUGGUUGAUCGCGUCGGAAGUGUAAUCUUGGGGCUUAACCCUGAGCGUGCUUUCGAUACGGGUUGACUUGAGGAAGGUAGGGGAGAAUGGAAUUCCUGGUGGAGCGGUGGAAUGCGCAGAUAUCAGGAGGAACACCAGUGGCGAAGGCGGUUCUCUGGGCCUUUCCUGACGCUGAGGAGCGAAAGCGUGGGGAGGGAACAGGCUUAGAUACCCUGGUAGUCCACGCUGUAAACGGUGGGUACUAGGUGUGGGGUCCAUUCCACGGGUUCCGUGCCGUAGCUAACGCUUUAAGUACCCCGCCUGGGGAGUACGGCCGCAAGGCUAAAACUCAAAGGAAUUGACGGGGCCCCGCACAAGCGGCGGAGCAUGCGGAUUAAUUCGAUGCAACGCGUAGAACCUUACCUGGGUUUGACAUGGAUCGGGAGUGCUCAGAGACGGGUGUGCCUCUUUUGGGGUCGGUUCACAGGUGGUGCAUGGCUGUCGUCAGCUCGUGUCGUGAGAUGUUGGGUUAAGUCCCGCAACGAGCGCAACCCUUGUUCACUGUUGCCAGCACGUUAUGGUGGGGACUCAGUGGAGACCGCCGGGGUCAACUCGGAGGAAGGUGGGGAUGACGUCAAGUCAUCAUGCCCCUUAUGUCCAGGGCUUCACGCAUGCUACAAUGGCUGGUACAGAGAGUGGCGAGCCUGUGAGGGUGAGCGAAUCUCGGAAAGCCGGUCUCAGUUCGGAUUGGGGUUUGCAACUCGACCUCAUGAAGUCGGAGUCGCUAGUAAUCGCAGAUCAGCAACGCUGCGGUGAAUACGUUCCCGGGGCUUGUACACACCGCCCGUCAAGUCAUGAAAGUUGGUAACACCCGAAGCCGGUGGCGUAACCGUUGUGGGGGAGCCGUCGAAGGUGGG